UAUUGCACUUGUCCCGGCC
rnacentral:piRNA from 1 species